rnacentral:lncRNA from 1 species
AUCUUUUAUUAAAUGGUGUUUUGACACCUCAGACAGCUGUAAAAAAUGUAUAUAUACUUUCUUUACGUAUUAUAUACAUUAUGUAAUGAAUUCGUUUUACAUUAUUAUAUUAUCAUGGGAGUCAUUGUUGCUAUCACGGCUUUUCUCAAGGCUAAUAUUGAUUAGGAGAUCCCGGAGCAUGACAGGAUUGCAGAAAUGGGCAAUAAUGGCUAUGGAUUAGGCUAAUAGGUUGGUAUUUGUUUAUCGUGGUAUAUGUUUUGGAUUAGGUUUUUGUUGAAGGGGUGUUGACAAUAAUUUUGAGGACUUUGGAUUGGAAAUACUGUAUUCUUUGGAUGUUGGUUAGUUUAGCGGUGCCUCACUGUCUAGUUUAGUGUCUGGAUCUAACGUUUAAGAAGAAGGAGGUCCAUUGCACGAGUGUCUUCUCUACCUCUUUGGGGAUGGCAGAAAAGCCGAAGAAUUGUCUGUAUGAAAGUGUCCCUUGAGGCACUUUUAAACCGGCUGGCCAGGGGAUGUGACAAAUCUAUGCAUGUAUCUUUUUGCAAAACAUCUUGAAACCAUCUUCAUCCAAGAGCCAACACCAGCCACACACAAAGCAUAAAAAAGGUGCAUGAGAAUAAUAAAAAUACUGUUACUAAACCUACUGUCUCUACACAACUUCAUCCAGGGAGAGAGAUUGGUUGCAUAUAAGCUGAUGCAAGGAUAGGAUUCUAGAAGGCAUGAUUCACAGGUAUAACUUCGCAAAGAAGAACCAUCUUAAAAUACAAAACUUUGGACAUCAUCGAAGAGAAUAAAAGAAUACGACUUUCUCGGAACGAAAGAUGCCGAAACAAUUUUCCCAUAUU